GUCUGGUCACUCUCAGAACCCAGAGAGAACAACAACCAAAAUUUAACAGCACGCACAAAAACUUCCCUCCCUCAAGAUUUGAAAGUAUCCUGUCCCCUGAUUGGUCCUAUGGUCAGGUGACAGCCAGGCUCACUGAUCUUGUUAACCCUUUACAGGCAAAAGAGAUAUCAAGUACUUCUGUUCUAUUAACUCUUAACUAUCUGUUUAUGACAGCUUCUAACCAGAGUUGGUCAUUUACCUGUAGGAAUCUAGCGGUGCCAGUUAUUACAACCUCACCAGAAGUAUUUACCAUGCAAGGGGAUCAGUACAUCAGAGUUUUCCAGAUUUUACUUUCCUGAGUGGUCUGAAGAAAGAUUUUGAUCAGUGGGAUGCUCUUGUAGAUGGCGAAGGACAUAAUGUCAUUCCUGGAAACAACAUUUAUCUACCCUCAACUCAGCCUGAAUCACUAGAAGGAAGAAACUGAUAAUACCGUGCCUUAGUAGUACUGCUGGUCAUCUACUUCCCACAGCUACAGCGUUUUUCUUUCUCUUGGCAGUCUCAUUGCACAUUGAUAAAAGAGUUGCAGGGGUUUAAAUUCAUACCAGCCUAUAAACUUAUUCUUUAAAAUACUGUAAUAAACCUUUGCUUUCUACCCAUUAAA